rnacentral:lncRNA from 1 species
AGAUCUACAAAUAAGUCAACAUGACCAAAAUGGUCAGUUGACCACUUUAGGAGUAAUUGCCCUUUAUAGUCAAUUUUUAACCAUUUUUCGUAAAUCUCAGUAAUCUUUUAGAAAAAUCUUCUCCUCUGAAACUACUGGGCCAAAUUUAACCAAACUUAGCCAUAAUCAUCAUUGGGGUAUCUAGUUUAAAAAAUGUGUCCGGUGACCCGGCCAACCAACCAAGAUGGCCGCCAUGGCUAAAAAUAGAACAUAGGGGUAAAAUGCAGUUUUUGGCUUAUAACUCAAAAACCAAAGCAUUUAGAGCAAAUCUGACAGGUGUAAGAUUGUUCAUCAGGUCAAGAUCUAUCUGCCCUGAAAUUUUCAGAUGAAUCGGACAUUUCGUUGUUGGGUUGCUGCCCCUGAAAUGGUAAUUUUAAGGAAAUUUUGCUGUUUUUGGGUUAUUAUCUUGAAUAUUAUUAUAGAUAGAGAUAAACUGUAAACAGCAAUAAUGUUCAGCAAAGUAAGAUCUACAAAUAAGUCAACAUGACCAAAAUGGUCAGUUGACCACUUUAGGAGUUAUUGCCCUUUAUAGUCAAUUUUUAACAAUUUUUCGUAAAUCUUAGUAAUCUUUUAGAAAAAUCUUCUCCUCUGAAACUACUGGGCCAAAUUUAACCAAACUUGGCCAUAAUCAUCAUUGGGGUAUCUAGUUUAAAAAAUGUGUCCGGUGCCCCGCACAACCAACCAAGAUGGCGGCCAUGGCUAAAAAUAGAACAUAGGGGUAAUAAUGCAGUUUUUGGCUUAUAACUCAAAAACCAAAGCAUUUAGAGCAAAUCUGACAUGGGGUAAUAUUGUUCAUCAGGUUAAGAUCUAUCUGCCCUGAAAUUUUCAGAUGAAUCGGACAUUUCGUUGUUGGGUUGC